UGAUGAUUCUCUAUCAUGUUCCUCGUACACUGCACCAGCACCACUGCUUCCCUUCCCAGUGAGAACCCGAUCAAGCUUUAUCAUGCAGCCCAGAAGGGUGGGGGAAAGAAAAAGAAUUAGGAGAAAAUGUUGUAAAAGUAAUGAGAUAAUAUGAGAAUGUGCUUUGGGAACUGCGAAUCUGGAGUCACUGGUCCAUGAGGAAUCUAGGAUAAGAAGAAGGAAGCUGUGAAGAAUGGUUGGCUAACAGUGCUGGCAAGGAAUUCAGAUCAACAUACCUCUCAAAAGAAUGGAAGUCUCUUAAACUCAGCUUCAGCCAGACCUAGAAGUUUAUCUGCUGAAGCUGUAUACACCCCAUCAGUAGCCCAUCCUGCAGUUGGCUAACUCUGAUUCCAAAUUCCUUUCCGGUGGCGUCCAUCUGCUGUGCAAAAUGUUGUGAAAAGGCUUCCUAUUGACUGUGAUUCUCCAAUGUGCAGAGCAGAGGGAAUGACUUUCCUCUUGAUAGACUUGGGUGUGUGAAGAACUAUCCCUCUUAUAACCGCAAUGAAAUUUGAGUACUGGAGCGAAAUUUGGUAAUUUCAUCAGUUCAUGGUGUUUUUUUUUUUUUUUUAAUGUAGUAAUUUUCUGUUUUUAAAAGACUACUACUUCACAAAAGCCUAACAAGAAGAUAUAACACUAAGAGAAAACUUUGCUUAUGGUUAUCAAUAAACUUUAGUUAAUUAACAGUAUAAUAAUUUUUGUAUAUAAAUUGUAUUAAAAGAUAUAUACAUUUUCCUCAUUCCGCUCUUAGGCUACCUAUUAUAUAUGUGAUGUUGAAUAGUUGCUUGUUUCUGCAUGCUCAUUAUAUUUUUUAAUAUCACGAAUCUUUUAAAGAGAAAUAAUAAUACCAAAUCCUGUGAGCAAUGCCAUUUUUACAAAUACUUCUCAAUUAGCUUACAUGUAUUAAUUUAAAGACCAAUUUUGUUAGUUCUGAAAAACCAUUUGAAAUUUAAACAAGGCAGUUGAAUCACACUUCGUGUUGUUGCUUUUUUUUUCCUGGUAGGUGGUAAACAAAUGGAGCUAUUUUAGGAUCACAACCAUUUAAAAUGUAAGAUUGAAACAUAAGCCAAGAUUCAGCUAUGACUUUGUUUUUCUGCAAGUAAAAUUAUUUGUUUUCUUCCCCAAUGUUUAUUCUUUCUUUCUUACAAAGUAAUUGGAUAGUGUUUUUCUCAAAGAACAGUGAACAAAUAUGUAAUUUUGAUACAGUAAUGCAUUGUUUUGUUGAGGCUAGGGUCCAACACAGUGGAGAAAUAUAUUAGUUUCCUAUUGAGAACACUGGUGCUCAAAAUAACUGACAAAAGUCUGUUUCUCCUGAAAAGUGCAUUUUGAAAAAUUAGUUGUUCAGCGUGGUAGUUAUUGCAAGAAAAAGCAUCUGUUAACUGGAACAAGUUAUGUUUUCUUGUGGAACAAUGCAAAAUUCAACUUUUGCAUUCAAAGGAAUUGGCAAAAAGCCUGAAAUAUGUGGGUUUCACUUUUGCUUGACAUCUCUUUGCAGUCCAGAGUCACCACAGGACAAAACAUAAUUACACAACAAAUGACUUAAAGGAGUAAUACAAAUUUAUCUAAAAUAUUCAAGUUUGUGCCAGUGACAGUUCAUUUAUAUGUUGAGAUGAUUAGUAAAACGCAUGAUAGGAUUUUUUCCACUCUUAGUCAGAACACAAAAUUCAGGUCUCAGCCAUAACCUCCUGACAUUUACAGAUGCCAGAUCUUUGUCCUACAGCAACUCAAAUGAAAUAAUAGCAUGAUAGAUAUACGUACAAGUGUAUUUAUUCCCUUUUCUUUCAGACAUUCUAAUUUUUGCCAAAUUUGAUCCAGUGUGUUUAUAACAAUUGAUUAUUAGAAUUCAGUUGUUGUUGCAUAUCUACUUCAGUAGAAAAAUAGAUCAAGGAAACUUUCACUAGCUUCAGGUUGUGCAUUUGGAAAAAAAUGUGUAAAUCUUUUACUUUCAUGCCCAAAUCAAAUAUAUCUGAAGUAUAAGGAGCUACAAUGUGAAGCUGACUAAAAGGAAUGUUAAUUUUAAAGCCUCAGUUAUAAAAUCUGUUCCCAUAAUUCUCAGAAGGCAUUCCUCAGAAGGUUAGCAAAGUGGCACCUGACAGUUUCCUUUCACUGAGAAGUUACAUGUUAAAAUGAAAAGCAUCUGCUUGGUGAAUUUAUCUAUGCAUCUAUGUUUCUAAUUUUUGUAAAAUAAAUAGUAUCUUAAGAAAAGCAUUUGUUUUUGUGUAUCACUAUGCGUACUUAUUAAAUUGUUUAUUGUUUGUUGCCAUAACAUGAAAAUUUUCUUUGUGGUACAAAUUCUUCACGGAGAAUAGAAUCUUAAUGAUUUCACAUUUGCCUUUUUAUUAAGUAAUGAGACGUGCAUAUUAGUGUGCUUCCCUUUUAACUAUAUUUACUAGGAAGCUCUGCCUACUUUUGUAUUUAACUGUAAGUUUCCUUUAUCCUAGAUUGUCAUUGUUAUGACUUGAAUGCCUCCUCUAAAAUACAUGUUGAAAUUUAAUUACUAUUGUGACAAUAUUAAGAGAUAGGACCUUUAACAGGUGAUUAGGUCAUGAGGGCAAAGCCCUCAAGAGUGGAUUAAUG
rnacentral:lncRNA from 1 species